UAUGUAUGUAGUAUGUGUGUGCAUGUGCAUGUCGUGUGUGUGUGUGUGUGUAUGCACAGAGGGACAGAUGUUUUAAAUGACCAGGACAUGGAUGUGUACUGUAAUUUGUGUGUCACUGGGAGGACUUACUGCCAAUGACAGAUGGCAUCUCUGCAGAGAUGGAUUUCUUUUUUUGUGGUGUAUGCAUGUGUUUUUGGCUACACAUUGUAAAACUUUGGGUGUGAUGGGGUCUUGCAUGUCCACAGCCCUGUGGUCUGUAAUUCCAAGCUGUUUUGUUGCAGUAAUUCAGCAGUAACCCUUCAGUGAUGGGAUUAUGAUCAUGCUGUUCUGGCCAAACCAUUAUCUAGCAUAGGCUCAUAAGUCUGAAGGCUUGCCAAGCAUCAGAUUUUUUUGGUCAUGUCUUUUCGGUAUUGCUGAUCAAUUUCAGUAUUGGCAGUUGGUCAUUGCAAAACAAAUGAAAUAUAGAUAACACUUAGACUAGAAGACACUGGACCAGAUAAGAGUAGGGAGUAUUGUUAAGGUUGUAAUAAAGAAUUUGCCAACAAGAGUAGUACACAGAUAGGAGGGGGGGGGGGGGGGGGGG